UACGUAGGGUGCAAGCGUUAAUCGGAAUUACUGGGCGUAAAGCGUGCGCAGGCGGUUAUGCAAGACAGAUGUGAAAUCCCCGGGCUCAACCUGGGAACUGCAUUGUGACUGCAUAGCUAGAGUACGGUAGAGGGGGAUGGAAUUCCGCGUGUAGCAGUGAAAUGCGUAGAUAUGCGGAGGAACACCGAUGGCGAAGGCAAUCCCCUGGACCUGUACUGACGCUCAUGCACGAAAGCGUGGGGAGC
rnacentral:rRNA from 1 species